UCUUAUGGAUGAGCAAAGAAAGCGAAUUCUUGAGAUAGAAUCUACUCCUGGUGAAGAUGCUGUGAA
rnacentral:pre_miRNA from 1 species